GUGCGCUCUGGGUGGUUUCUUGGAGCUUUAUGGCUUAAACCAGAAGAGAAACAGCUACAAGAAAAAAGUUUAUUUUGUCGAACUCUCUUACUACAAUAUUUAAAAUACUAUAUAUAUAUGGUGGUACAUAGAUACAAGUCAUAUAACUUCACAAAGUUCCAAUAUGAGUACUCUAAAAGAUUUGGUGUCUAUAUAUAUCUCAAAGAUAUGAAUCAACUAUGUUCCAGACUUGGGAUUUGACGAUGAUUCUUCUUCACAUCCUACUACUUCUACUUCUUCUUCCUCCUCCUUGAACCUGUCUACCCCAAGAACAGUUCGUUAUGGGUGAAGAUGAUAUCGUGGAGCUCUUAUGGAAGAGCGGUCAUCUUGUUCGAAGCAGCCAAGCACAGAGACCCUCUGUUCCUCCUCCUCCUCCUGUUUUACGAGGCAGCGGAAGUGGCGGCGGCAGUGCAGAAGAAAGUGCUCCACUUCAUCUUCUGCUUCCGCCACCUCUCCACAGUCAACCGUCUGAUCAGAGUCUUUUCAUACGCGAAGACGAAAUGGCGUCUUGGCUUCACCAUCAUCCUCUCGGGGAAGAAGAUGAGUUCCUCCGCUCCCAACUUUUCUACUCCGGCCUAGUCGCCACCCCAUUUACUCAGCCGCAGGGCUCCGUCUCUCUCGCACCACCACCAGCCAGUGCUAUUUACACUCCAACGGCGGCGGAGAGACCGAUGGGUCAGGUCAUCGCCGAGAGAAGGGCUGAGAACUUCUCGAGGCUAAGAGGGAACAUACAGACGAGCGGUGGAGUCGAAGUAGCAGCUGCACCGUGGGUUCCGGUGGUAGUUAGAGAUUUGACGCAGGUGGGAUCAAGCGCGACACCGUCGUCUUCAGCACCGGAGUCCUGUCUGACACCAGCGACGGUCACUAGCGGAGUCGCGCAGACUUUUGCAGUUCCCAGAGCGGUUGAGACGGUUUGCGCCAUCGCCGGACCAUCUUCGUCAGUGGUCUCAUCAAAGACCGAAACAGAGACGUUUCAGAUACAACCAGCCACGGAGACGGAAGCUGCCGACGAGAGGAAGAGAAAGGAGAGAGAAGAACCUGCUGAGGAAACUGGUGGUUCGACAUCUAGGAAGAGGUCACGAGCUGCGGAAACGCAUAACAUCUCCGAAAGGAGAAGGAGAGAAAAGAUCAACGAGAAGAUGAAAGCUCUCCAAGAACUCAUUCCUCGCUGCAACAAGACUGAUAAAGCUUCAAUGCUGGAGGAUGCUAUUGAGUACGUGAAGUCACUACAGAUGCAAAUACAGAUGAUGUCAAUGGGAGGCGGCGGUAUGAUGUAUAAUCCAAACAUGCAACGUUUCAUGCCCCCCUCAGCAAUGGGCAUGAACCGGCCUCCAUUUAUACCUUUACCUGGCACAGCUUUUCCUACGCCGGCUCAUAUGCCAGGUCCAGGUCCAUUAUAUCCAGCACCGAGAUAUCCUUUUCCAAACAUUCAAGCAUUUGACCCAUCCAGAGUCAAUUUACCAAGUCAGCAGCCUGACCCAGUGCCAAACCAGUCUCAGUUUCCGGGUUACUUGAAUCCUUAUAGCCAUUUUGUUGGCCUCCAAUCAAUGCAUCAACCUCCUCCUCCAUUGCAGAAUCAAACAACAUCACAGAUGAGUUUCAGCCAGGCUAGUAGUAGCAAGGAACCUGAAGAUCAGGACAACAAACCAACAGGUUAAUAAAGGAUCGGUUCUCCAAGCAAAUCCACAAAGUUGAAGAUAUAAACAGAGAGAUAGCAUGUAAAAUUUAGUCAAGGUAAUCAUGUGCUUCGCACGGCAUGCCGGAAUUAUGCGAAUUAAUGGAGAGAAGACUUAUCAGAGAAGAAUCAGACCUGAAUCUUCAUAAGACAUGUAGAUUUGUUAAAUGUGAAAUCAUCGGUAAUAUUUCUCAUAGUUUGUAAUAGCAUUUAAAAAAAAUAUAUCCACAAUGGAUAUAUGUCUUUACUAAGAUAUUUGGAUGACGUCUUUUUCAAAUGAUUUUACCCAAAUUAAAUACUUGAUAUCUUUAAAAAGGGAAUUUUGAGAUUUAUAUAUAUUAUAUAAUAUUUAUGAAUUAAAAUUUUAAAUAUUAUUUAUUAGUUUAGAGUUUUGUAUAUAUAAGCAAAAUAUUCUGACAGCAACCAUUCUAGUUUGUAAGAACAACCUUGUUAAGAUAAUAUUUGAAAAUGGGACUUUAGAAAAAUAUAUGAUAACAUUUUAAUAUAACUUUACAAUAUGAUUUAAUUUUAAUGCUGAAAAAUAACUGAUCAACUAGAAGAUGAUAAGUGUUUUAUGGUAUUUCUUGAAUAUUUUAUAAGUUAUCUUCUUCUUGUUUAUUCUCCUUUGGCACUUUUACAUUUUCUUCAUUUUUCAAUGUUGAUAUACUUUUUGAGAAUAUCCCAAAGGAGGUGUCCCGUUGUUACACAUAAGGUUUUAUGGCUGAUUCUUUGGAUAUUUGGAAAACUAGUUUCUGUAAAAUAUUUACUACAGUUGAUACAAGAAAAUCAUUUUUUUGGGAGAAUAUACCGCCAGAUUCUCUAUCGGUCAUCCUCCAGAUUCUUCUCUGGGAUGUUGUGGUAAUCUAAAAUAGUUUUAGAAAAAUACCACUAGCAUGUUGUUCUCAUUUGUAAAUACUAUUAUCU